UGACACUGAUGAAACCUCGUGUGACGUCUGAAGCCGGGGAGCGGGCGUGAUCUGAAUAAGGUCGAACCCAACGCAGCGCGCCGGUCCCAAUGGGGAUCCCUCGCACGAUGUCUGAGUCAC
rnacentral:snoRNA from 1 species